rnacentral:tRNA from 1 species
GCAGUGAUGAUUCAGUGGUAGAAUUCUUGCCUUCCACAUGGGAGACCUGGGUUCCAUUCCCAGCUAACGCA